CAUUUUGGAAGCUCAUGUUGGUAAAGAGGUGCCAUAAAGAGGUGCCAUACACAAAUCAAGUGGAGGAACACUGCUCUGUUGUCUUCUCAGCCCUUGUACAUGAGAAACCAAUUCCGUCUUAGGCCACUUAGAUUUCUCUCUUUGUUACUAUAGCGUGACUUAGACCAACUUGACUAACGCAGGAUCAAUACUAAAAUCUGAAUGAUAAGUAUGUUCAUCAAUGUUUCUAUCUCCUUGUGAUGAUUGAACUCAUUUUGAGGAAGUUAUCCAAUAGAUAAUCCAACAGAUGAUAGCUGCAAGCCGAUUCUCAAUAAUCUGCUGCAUUAUUUUAUGUCUGAUUAAUCUUUCCUUAGAAAUAAAGGAGUAAUUUCAACUUUAUUCAAAUUUCGGUUUUUAAGAGCAGUCAAAUACCAAUAGUUUGACUCAAAAAGAAAAACAAUUACAUUCUAAAUCUUUAUAUUAAGUA
rnacentral:lncRNA from 1 species